rnacentral:rRNA from 1 species
AUUGAACGCUGGCGGCAGGCCUAACACAUGCAAGUCGAGCGGAUGACGGGAGCUUGCUCCUUGAUUCAGCGGCGGACGGGUGAGUAAUGCCUAGGAAUCUGCCUGGUAGUGGGGGACAACGUUUCGAAAGGAACGCUAAUACCGCAUAAGUCCUACGGGAGAAAGCAGGGGACCUUCGGGCCUUGCGCUAUCAGAUGAGCCUAGGUCGGAUUAGCUAGUUGGUGGGGUAAUGGCUCACGAAGGCGACGAUCCGUAACUGGUCUGAGAGGAUGAUCAGUCACACUGGAACUGAGACACGGUCCAGACUCCUACGGGAGGCAGCAGUGGGGAAUAUUGGACAAUGGGCGAAAGCCUGAUCCAGCCAUGCCGCGUGUGUGAAGAAGGUCUUCGGAUUGUAAAGCACUUUAAGUUGGGAGGAAGGGCAGUAAGUUAAUACCUUGCUGUUUUGACGUUACCGACAGAAUAAGCACCGGCUAACUCUGUGCCAGCAGCCGCCGUAA